CCGUGCUAGGCGGGGAGCUAGCGGUGCCCUGUACCCGCGAUCCGCUUCAGCGGGGCUGAAUCCCCGCCCGAGGCCCGUCGGGUCCGAGUCUGCUCCCGGCACGGAGCGUUGAAGGUUGGGUCCCGCGCGACGUCAUCCCGUGAACCCGGUCAGGUCCGGAAGGAAGCAGCCGUAAGCGGGGCGUGACGGGUGCCGCGGGCGUGCCUGACCGGAGCUACCGGCUGGUGACGCGACCAGGUUCGAUGCGGUCGACGGCGGGUGCACGG
rfam:Actinobacteria bacterium RBG_19FT_COMBO_70_19 rbg_19ft_combo_scaffold_8921, whole genome shotgun sequence.